AUGUGUUUUCUUCUGGGAAGUGAAACACAGUCAGAAAGACUGAUAGAGCUGUUUUUCAGAAGACUGAAACCUCACAGUUUCCAUCUGUGUCUCUCUUUAGCUGCGGCUCGUCCCGCUCUGACGGUGCUGCCUCCCUCCAGAGACGAGCUGCAGCAGGGGAAGGCUACAGUGCUGUGUGUGGCCAGUAAGGGAUUCCCCUCUGACUGGAAGCUGAGCUGGAAGGUGGACGGCAGCAGCAGGAGCUCUGGUGUCAAUCUGAGUCCCAGUCAGCUGCAGAAGGAUGGACUGUACAGCUGGAGCAGCAGCCUGAGCCUCACUGAGAGUGAGUGGAGCAGAGCAACAACCGUCAGCUGUGACGCCACGCACCCGUCCCACAGUGCAGUCACCAACAGCAUCAACACACAGCAGUGUAAUGAAUGAAUUACACACACAUGCUGUUAUAUUGCUCAUAUUUUCUUAUCUUUUGUAAUUCUACAGCUGCAAUGCUAUAA